UGAUGCCUGCAUAAAAUAACAUUGAAAUAUGUUAAGUCCUUCCCAGCAAGAAGGUAUAACCCAAUACUGAUAUGAGUAAAUUUUCAAACUAAAUUGCAGAUGUGUAUUUCAAACUAGAAACUGUACUGAAUGGUUUUGAAUAGUUCAUAGUAUAGAGAGGGUAUAAAAAAAGUACUUUUACGAUCUCUACUGGAGUAUUUCUGAGUUGCAGAAGAGCCUCUUGUUAUUACAAGGUUACAAGGAACAACAGAAAAAAACCGCCAUGCCCAAUAAUCAAACGACUCAGUCCUAGAACUUCCGAUGUUUCUUUCUGGAAGGCUUGCAGAAGAGGAGUUUAAGGAGGUACUUUUGUAUAAAAUGGGGUCUGUUUUACAACCGUGUGCCAGAGCUGGCAAUUCCUUUUUAUAUCCUUCAGCCCUUUUCUUUGGCUCAUGGAUGGAAGUUCUUCCAUAGCUUCUACCAGUAUUCAGAUAUUCAGAGGAAGAAAGCUCUUACUAACACAUUCCAGCAGGCUGACAUCAUGGUACAUUUGCCAUAGUCUUACAGAAAAACAAGCAACUCAGUAGAGUCCUGUGACUCAUGGCAGGAUGGCUAAAGCUGUACAAAUAAUCUGACAUUCUAAGUAUUUAUUUAUCAGAUUUACCAAACUUUUCCUCUCAGAAGUUCAGUACUGCUCACAAAUCAGAUACCCACAAGGGUGACUUUCACUGAACUAUAUUUCAGCUGUACAAGUCUCUAUUGAUAAAGCCCAAAAUAAUGUUGGCAUAGCAGAGAACCUGAAAGAGACCUGGGUAUUAGGUUGUCAAACAGCAAUAUAUGCCACUAGAUGAGCUUUUAAUUGGUUUCAAAUGGGAAUUAAGGGAAGAAAGGAGUGAGGUGUUAAUUAACGAACCCAACUUGCUCAGCCAAAUGAGCAAGGUAGCAGUGACUGAAAGUGUUUUAUAACAGCAUUUGAUCGGAAAUGAGUUUGCUCACCCCAGGCAAUAUGUUACUGAACAGCUGUUUCUCUUUUAGAAACUGCAGUUUUAUCUUUGUGGCUAGCCUUAAUUUAAAAAGGGGAGGGUAUUGGGGAAGCCAAUAUUGAAAGGACACAGGCUACCAACAAAUACCUUUUCCUGCUACCAUGCAACUGAGGUGCACUGAUGGGCCAGCUGUAGAAGGUUUGUGCUGGUACUCUCUGAACACCAUCAGAGAGAGAGAGAUAUUGAAAGCAACAGUCCAUGAAGAGGCCAAAGGUCAGCACUGCUGUGGGUGCUCCAUGUACACUACUUCUAUGAAGUGCAAUAUCCUGCUAUUUUCAUGCCUGUUUUGAUACUUGGGCUUUUGUGCCUCUUGGAUGUUGAUCAUUCCAGGAAACAGGGUUUUCACCUUGGGAAAAAAGCCUGUUGCUGCAACUGCAUGAAGAGGGGCUGUGUUAAGGAUAGAGUGUGAGCUGCACUUUCCUUAGGUGCUGUUUUGUGGUGAGAAAUGAAUGAACAUUGGUUGGCUGACUCCUGAUGCUCACUGGUAUGCUAGGAGGGAAACCUGGCACGCUGCAAGGAGCAUGUUCUUCUGUACUCUGUAUGGGUAGGGAAGGGGUGGAAAAAUGCCUAGAGGACAUUAGGACACAGGGAAGAAAGCCCUCCCGGGUGUUAGUUACCUCUGCUGUGACCCUGCUUGUACUGGAUCAUCCCUCCUACUUUGUUUCCCUCUAUGUUUUUCUCACUGUGCACAAGAUUGGGUGUGUUUCAGAGACUCUGAGUUUCUUACUCUAUUUUCCAUGUAUCUAUAAGGUUGAAAGGCUUUCAUUUUUUGUAUUAUAAUGUUGAAAAGUCAAUCAGAGAAAAGUGGCAUAGUUUGUUUAAAGCUGCUUGAUGUAACAUAGAGAUCAAAAGAGAAAAUGAUCUGCUUAACAGACAGGAAAAAGGUCACUGCUUUUUCCUAGGAAGUGAUCAAAGCUUGCUUCAUUGAAACAGUGGUUAGACUGCUGUAGCAUGCCAAUGCUUAAGUUUCUUUUCUUCUACAUGUCAUUUUGC